rnacentral:rRNA from 1 species
AACGAACGCUGGCGGCGUGCCUAACACAUGCAAGUCGAACGAGAAAGUUUCCUUCGGGGAAUGAGUAAAGUGGCGCAAGGGUGAGUAACACGUGAAUAAUCUGCCUUCGAAACUGGGAUAACUUGACGAAAGUUAAGCUAAUACCGGAUAAGACCACGCUUCACAAGAGGUGCGGUAAAAGGGGUCUCAAACCCCGUUUGAAGAUGAGUUCGCGUACCAUUAGCUUGUUGGUGAGAUAAAAGCUCACCAAGGCGACGAUGGUUAGCCGGCCUGAGAGGGUGAUCGGCCACACUGGAACUGAGACACGGUCCAGACUCCUACGGGAGGCAGCAGUGGGGAAUUUUGCGCAAUGGGCGAAAGCCUGACGCAGCAACGCCGCGUGAGCGAUGAAGGCCUUCGGGUCGUAAAGCUCUGUCAAGUGGGAAGAACACAAUGACGGUACCACUAGAGGAAGCCCCGGCUAACUUCGUG